rnacentral:piRNA from 1 species
AAGAGCUGCAGCAAGGACCCCAUU